rnacentral:rRNA from 1 species
GACGAACGCUGGCGGCGUGCUUAACACAUGCAAGUCGAACGGAAAGGCCCUGCUUUUUUGGGGUGCUCGAGGGGCGAACGGGUGAGUAACACGUGAGUAACCUGCCCUUGACUUUGGGAUAACUUCAUGAAACUGGGGCUAAUACCGGAUAGGAGCUCCUGCUGCAGGGUGGGGGUUGGAAAGUUUCGGCGGUUGGUGAUGGACUCGCCGCUUAUCAGCUUGGUGGGUGGGUAGUGGAUGACCAAGGCUUUGAGAGGUAGCCGGGCUGAGAGGGUGACCGGACCCACUAGGCCUGGACUGCGGCACAGACUACUCCGGGACGCGGGGGUGGAGUAUAGUACACUAUGCGAGGAAGCAUGAUGUGAUCAAGCCGCGUGCGGGAUGACGGGCUUCGGGUUGUAAACCACUUUCGCCUGUGACGAAGCGUGAGUGACGGUAAUGGGUAAAGAAGCACCGGCUAACUACGUG